UACGGAGGGUGCAAGCGUUUAUCCGGAUUCACUGGGUUUAAAGGGUGCGUAGGCGGGCAGGUAAGUCCGUGGUGAAAUCUCUGAGCUUAACUCAGAAACUGCCAUGGAUACUAUUUGUCUUGAAUAUUGUGGAGGUAAGCGGAAUAUGUCAUGUAGCGGUGAAAAUGCUUAGAUAUGACAUAGAACACCAAUUGCGAAGGCAGCUUACUACACAGUCAUUGACGCUGAGGCACGAAAGCGUGGGGGAUCAAAACAGG
rnacentral:rRNA from 1 species